GACGUAGGGUCCAAGCGUUGUCCGGAUUUACUGGGCGUAAAGCGUGCGUAGGCGGUUUGUUAAGUCCGUUGUGAAAGCCCUGGGCUCAACCUGGGAAUUGCAGUGGAUACUGGCGAGCUAGAGUGCGGUAGAGGAUGGUGGAAUUCCCGGUGUAGCGGUGAAAUUCGUAGAUAUUCGGAAGAACACCAGUGGCGAAGGCGACUUACUGGACACAUAUUGACGCUGAGGUGCGAAAGCGUGGGGAGCAAACAGG
rnacentral:rRNA from 1 species